UACGAAGGGGGCUAGCGUUGUUCGGAAUUACUGGGCGUAAAGCGCGCGCAGGUGGUCUUUCAAGUCAGUGGUGAAAGCCCGGAGCUCAACUCCGGAAAUGCCAUUGAAACUGUAAGACUUGAGGAUGAGAGAGGUGAGUGGAAUUCCCAGUGUAGAGGUGAAAUUCGUAGAUAUUGGGAAGAACACCGGUGGCGAAGGCGGCUCACUGGCUCAUAUCUGACGCUCAGGAGCGAAAGCGUGGGGAGCGAUCCGG
rnacentral:rRNA from 1 species